GUGCGUAACAGCUCACUAGUCGAGUGACCCUGCGCCGAAAAUGUACCGGGGCUAAAACAUAUUACCGAAGCUGUGGAUACCUUUAUAGGUAUGGUAGGAGAGCGUUCUAUGUGCGAAGAAGGUGUACCGUGAGGAGUGCUGGAGCGCAUAGAAGUGAGAAUGCCGGUAUGAGUAGCGAAAGACAGGUGAGAAUCCUGUCCACCGUAAGACUAAGGUUUCCAGGGGAAGGCUCGUCCGCCCUGGGUUAGUCGGGACCUAAGGAGAGACCGAAAGGUGUAUCCGAUGGACAACAGGUUGAUAUUCCUGUACUAGAGUAUAUAGUGAUGGAGGGACGCAGUAGGCUAACUAAACCAGACGAUUGGAAGUGUCUGGCCAAGCAGUGAGGUGUGAUAUGAGUCAAAUGCUUAUAUCUUUAACAUUGAGCUGUGAUGGGGAGCGAAGUUUAGUAGCGAAGUUAGUGAUGUCACACUGCCGAGAAAAGCUUCUAGCGUUAAUUAUACUCUACCCGUACCGCAAACCGACACAGGUAGUCGAGGAGAGUAUCCUCAGGUGAGCGAGAGAACUCUCGUUAAGGAACUCGGCAAAAUGGCCCCGUAACUUCGGGAGAAGGGGCGCUGGUCGCAAGAUCAGCCGCAGUGAAAAGGCCCAAGCAACUGUUUAUCAAAAACACAGGCAUCUGCAAAAUCGUAAGAUGAAGUAUAGGUGCUGACACCUGCCCGGUGCUGGAAGGUUAAGAGGAGAGCUUAGCGCAAGCGAAGGUUUGAAUUUAAGCCCCAGUAAACGGCGGCCGUAACUAUAACGGUCCUAAGGUAGCGAAAUUCCUUGUCGGGUAAGUUCCGACCUGCACGAAAGGUGUAAUGAUUUGGGCACUGUCUCAACGAGAGACUCGGUGAAAUUAUAAUACCCGUGAAGAUGCGGGUUACCCGCGACAGGACGGAAAGACCCCAUGGAGCUUUACUGCAGUUUAAUAUUGGGUAUCUGUCAAGCAUGUACAGGAUAGGUAGGAGCCGGAGAAGAUAGGACGCCAGUCUUAUCUGAGGCGCUGUUGGGAUACUACCCUUGCUUGACGGAUGCUCUAACUCAGGCCUGUGAUCCAGGCCGAGGACAGUGUUUGACGGGCAGUUUGACUGGGGCGGUCGCCUCCUAAAGAGUAACGGAGGCGCCCAAAGGUUCCCUCAGAAUGGUUGGAAAUCAUUCGCAGAGUGUAAAGGUAUAAGGGAGCUUGACUGCGAGAGCUACAACUCGAGCAGGGACGAAAGUCGGGCUUAGUGAUCCGGUGGUUCCGUAUGGAAGGGCCAUCGCUCAACGGAUAAAAGCUACCCUGGGGAUAACAGGCUUAUCUCCCCCAAGAGUUCACAUCGACGGGGAGGUU
rnacentral:rRNA from 1 species